GUCCGUUGAGCUCAAACCCGCACACGUAUCGACACGAUAUCCUGGGUGCCCGCAAGGGUUGGAUAUUGGGAUGCGUGGAGGCCUAAC
rnacentral:sRNA from 1 species